rnacentral:rRNA from 1 species
GACGAACGCUGGCGGCGUGCUUAACACAUGCAAGUCGAACGGAGUUACGUAUGAAGUAUUUCGGUACGGACUAUGUAACUUAGUGGCGAACGGGUGAGUAACACGUGGGCAACCUGCCCUUAACCGGGGGAUAACAUUGUGAAAACAGUGCUAAUACCGCAUAACAGAGUAUCGGGCAUCCGAUAUUUUAAAAGGAGCAAUCCGGUUUAGGAUGGGCCCGCGUCCAAUUAGCUAGUUGGUGAGGUAACGGCUCACCAAGGCUACGAUUGGUAGCCGAACUGAGAGGUUGAUCGGCCACAUUGGGACUGAGACACGGCCCAGACUCCUACGGGAGGCAGCAGUGAGGAAUAUUGGUCAAUGGGCGCAAGCCUGAACCAGCCAUCCCGCGUGCAGGAAGACGGCCCUAUGGGUUGUAAACUGCUUUUCCAGGGAGAGAAACUUACGCACGUGUUGCGUGACUGACGGUACCCUGGGAAUAAGCAUCGGCUAACUCCGUG